AUGUGCCAAAAAGCUAGAGCGUGUAGGUAAGGUCGAGACAAGAAAAAAAUCGUAUGGGAGGGGGGGGGUGUAACACAAUAACGUGUUACACCUUUUUGUAAAGCCAAAACCCUAGUCUUUUACAAACAUUUUAAAGUUUUUGAAAAAUUAAUUGUUAAAAUAAAAAUUUGGGGACCAGUUUGUCAAUUUGUUAGAAAAUUGCUUCUGCCGCAUUAAUAAUGUCUUCAAACAACUCAGGCAAUCUUUUCAUAUCAUUUAGGAAUUUUUUUUUUUGAAAAAAAAAACCAACAAAACACAAAUUAAAGUCUUAAGUAAUUUAAAUUUUAAAAGCAAAACGGAAGCAGUGCAAUUUUUCAAGCAAUUUUUCAUAGAGACAAGAGUAUUUUUAAAUUACCGACGUUUGUAAGAAAAGAUCAUGAAUAUCGGAUCUGUUUCCGCCCUUUACAACAUUUUUUAGCUUCAGUUACUCCACUAAAUAAUUUUAUUGUUAAAUUAGUACUUUUCUUAACUCUACACAAAUGAAACAACAACAAAAUUAGAAUGUGUAAUUCCUUUCGUUUAUCUACAAGACAUGAAAAAUAAAAGAACUAAAUAAAGGAGGAAUUUAUUUCCUUUUUUUUUCCAAUUUAGUAGGUAUUAAGGUAUUUAAUUUGGUUCUGCAAUAUGGAUCAAAGACAAACCAGAGAUUUGAAUGUUCUCCGUUUCCGCUGUUCUUGAUUUAUAGAUAACACUGGUCAACAAGGUUUUUGUUACAGACACCAAGAUAUACUUUUCUAUACCUAGGUUUUUUGGGUGCUGAGCUCGAAUCCGAAGUCAAAAAAAUUUUAUCACAUCACGUUUUUGAGAUAAUCCCGUUAGAAUAUCGAAACAGACAGAAUACAAGAACAAAUUUCAGAGAUACAGACAAAUAACGAUUCCAACUCAAGAGUCAAGACCGUUAUGCUUAUGAUUUUUUUUUUCUUUUCUAUCCAUACAAAAAGAUCUUCUCGCUCUGUCUGAGGCAGAGCCGUGAAAACACAUGAUACUCACUCUCAAAGACCACGUAAAAGAGAAUCAGAGAAUAAAUAAUCAAAAUUCCAAAGAGAAAUAAAAGCAUUUUAAAAUUUCUCAAGUUUUUAAUUGAAAAGAGCUUUUUUAAAAGCUCUUCAUAGUGGUGAUUUUCAGUUUCAUAUGUCACUUUUUUCUUUAAAGAUGAGAUAUCUGUAUAUAAUUAUUUGUGAUAUCACGUCAAUAACAUUUUGCUUGCAAGAUGGACCUGUCAUUAAAUGAUCAUUCAGAGAGCUUCCAUCAGAUGUUCGAAAAGAAGCGUCGAAAACGACUCGGAGCUUGGUUGUGGAACUGCUUUCUUUCAAUACAGCGUGGUGAGGUAAGAAAUAAUGAUUUUUGUCAACGAGAGAUUCUUUUGCUUCUACCAUGUGACCUAAUUGCAAAUAUUCUUCAAGACACGCUGUGUAUUGGUGACGUAGAUGAUUUUUGUAGCAAGACGUUUUUCCAGGCUCAUAAAACGUUGGAGUGCACCUUCAUAAGACCUUCCUAAUUUUGGAAAUGUGUUUCCUUUAAAUGGAAGAGCCACCUGGGUAUCAAUGGAUUUAUAUGGACAUUCUUCUAUUUCCCAGAAUUUUGGAAUUUGAUUAUCGAUUUUUCUGGUUUGAAGAACACUUCGAACUGGUCCAGGUUCAAGCGGUGCUUUGCCAAAGACAAUCCAACCGAAUCUUGUUUUCUGCGCGAUAGGCAGUGUUUUGUCAUAUAGUCGGAAUAAUUCUGGUAGCAAGAUUUCUGCCAAAACAUCACUGCCCAACAAUAAAUCUAUUUGGGAUGGGAUAUAAAUCUCUGGAUCAGCUAAGUGCAAGUUGUCGAGGUACUUCCAUACUUCCAGCCACUAACCAAAAGCCUACGGGCCGGGAAAUGGCCAGACAGAGACUUAAAAACAAACGCCUCGACGGCAAUUUCAAAGGUUGGAUAAUGUGAUUCAACAACUAUAUCUACUGCUUUCUUACAUGUGCCACUGCUGAGCAUUCCUAGCCCCGAGACAACGACAUGAGUGCUUGGUCUUGGUUUCAUACGCAAAAUCUAAUAGUGCUCGCAGAGUACAAGUUUUCCCUGAAGAUGAUCUCACCUUAACUAUGGCUGUAGCAAGCAGAACAUGAGACGCACUUUGGGAGGAUGCAUGUAGUGAGUUAAUGCCGGUACUCACUGGAUGUUCAAUUUGUGGUUCAAAGGCUAGACCAUCGGGAUUAAUUGUGGAAGCUAGAUAUGUUUGUCGUUGAGGUCCAUGUGCGAAAUUAUUAGAGGGCGAUUGUCUUUGUGUUUGCGAGAAUGAUGAUGAUGGUCGGUGAGAUUAGGUGUAUGGUUUGGGCAUGGGCUGAGAAGGAGUUGUUAUGUGCAACAAAGAAUUAUGCGGUUGUUGGCAAUAAUAGCAUCUAUAAUUACUAGGGCACUGCUCUGAUUUGUGAUUGUAUGCCAAACAAUUAGAACAAAUCCCUAACUUAUCAACAUUCUGCCGGCGAUCAGUAACGCUCAUUUUUAAAAAUCGUUUGCAUUUACGAAUACCUACUAUGUUGUCCUUUGCUGCAAAUUUGGCAUUUGACAAACGACUUUCGUAUCGUUUGUCUGCGAGUGAAAACUGCUUUUAAUGAAUGUAUUGUUUGGUGAUUCUUUCGAUGUUCUGGCUUGCUGAAAAUUCACUUCCUCCAAGGUAAGAAAAUUCAUUUCUAAAAACUAGGAAAUUCUAAGAAGGUAGGUAAUUCUUUUGGUUUUUCCCUAGCUCCUAACCGUUCUUCCCAGAGUUGUUGUGUUUUACUUGGAAGUUUUUGAAGCAAAACGAAAAUUAUAAGAACAUCCCACUCAUCUACCGGUAUAUAUAAAUUUUUUAAACUGUGAAGAACUUCAGUCGAUGUAUCCAACAAAUGCUUUAUUAAUUCGGCUUUUUCUUGAAUAAUUGGAGGAUUAUUAAACAAACAUUUAAGCUGAGUGUUCACCAGAAAUCGCGCAUGAUCGUAUCUUUCAGUGAGAAUGGACCAGGCUUUGACAUAAUUGCCAUUAUCUAUGCUAAGGUGAGAUAAAAGUUUUUGAGCUUCACCUGUAACGCUUGAUUUUAAAUAAUAUUUCAGAUAGUGAACCAUUUUUAUGUAUCAAGGAUACAAAUAGAUCAUGGAAUGGUCUCCACGUGUCGUAGGUGUCUGAAAAGGCCGGAAAAUUGAUUUUUGGUAGUUUAAUUUCUACUCUGGAUGAGGAAACAUGGUUUAUCUUUUUUGAAGCUUUCUUUAAACUGAUCGGUGGCGUCUAACAAAUCGCCAUGGUAUGCUCAAUGCCAUUGCGCAGUUUAUUAGUGUUUUGAUUUGUCGUGCAGCCGAAAAUAAAGGAUAUGGAUUCAAGAAGUUUUGCAGCCAAUUCAGUUCAGCUGAUCCAAGGCAAAAAAUGAAUUGGGAUGAUCAAUCUUUGCUACUUUAACCGAUGUAGCCCCAGAACAAUUUGUCGCACAAAUGUAUUUGUGAAAUGUUGAAAUGCUGUACCCUAAGUCAGUAGAAAUAUAUGGCUACUCAAAUGAUCUAUACUUAAUAUUCUUAUGGGAAUGACCUAUUUGGUGCAAUACAAAUAAUGAAAAUAUAAUCAAUUCCUUUGGUCUUUUCAAGCUUUUGCCGUCAGGAAUCUGAAAAGUUCGUCCGCAAGUUUUUAAAAUUUUGGAGAGCAUGGCCCGACUAAACUCAUCAAAAACUCGUUUGUUGUUGUACUUUUAUUUUGCUCUGUUGGAUAGCUCGGUGCGUGGCGUACAUUGGCUUGUUGUUGCGCUUGUCAAGCAAAAGCUUGUUGAAUCCAUUAUUUAGGUUGUCUUCAAUUUGAUGGCCACUGAACCAGAAUCAGUGAAUAUUUUCUUGAUGAAAUCGAUUCCAACCCAAUGACAACUGCAACUCAAUCAAUAGAUCAACUAACAUGGCCUGUUAUGGAUUCGAGAUUUAAGUGUCUUGUCGGGCAGAAAAAAUGAAUUCAGUUUAACUGUUGAUAUUAUGUUUUUUGAAGAAUAUAUGAAUAAAUAAUAAAAAAAUGUUGAGCUAUAUCGAGAAUUUUCAGCGGUGUUAUUGCAUUAUGGUUUUGGAUUUCUAUUUGUAGGUAAUGGUGGAGUUGGUUUUGGAAGCAGACAGUUAUAUAUUGGUAGUUUUGGCCAUGGCAUUCAUGUUAAAUUAAACAAUAAAUAUGUAUAUUUGCUUUCAAUUACCUUAACUAAAAAAACCUUGAAUAUUAUUUUAUCCCAUUAGCAUGACUCGAGGUCCUGUAGUUCGUGCGCUACGUUGACUUGUUAUUGUCGAGUAAAUCUUAGUAAUCAUUAUGAACUUGGAGAGCUUUAACCACACAUAGGUAAGUUGUAAUAGAAAUCAACAAGUAUAAUAUUCAAAAUAGCAGAUAUUUUGUGAAAUACAAAUUUUUAUUCAUACAAUGCAAUUCUACCUUCUACAUGUUUUAGAUCUACUAGGGUAUCUACUUUUUUGGUUAAUGCAGGAAACUGAGAAGUCUGCCUUCUUAUCCUUUUGGUUUGAGGGUAUAUUCUUUACACAAAUAAAGUUGAUUUAACGGAGCUACAUGCGACAAAAUUUACUUGAUCGGUCCGCGGAUAUAAACAGAACUCUACAAAUGAAAAACAAUUACAAAAAGGGAAACCUACACUAUCUCCAAAAAAAAAAAUCUCAAUCGGAUAAAAUCUCCAGAAAAUUUUUGACCCCAUGGACAAAAUCUCCAUGGGGAAAGGGAUCCAAUCGACAAAUUCUCCAAUAAAUAAUUUUUUCUCCCAUUUUCUCCAAAUCCCCAAAAAUCUCCAAAUAGCAAAAACAAAAACGUAAUAGAAUGAUAAAAAAACACUGUAAAGCAAAGUAAAAUCAGGUCUAAACACGACAAUUUUAAAAUCAUAAAGGUUCCUCUUUUAAAACGGAACACAAAAAAUAAAUUAUGUAAACAACCGUCACAUGAACCUUCGUUGUUGGAACUACCAUUCGUGUGCCUUAACAAUGAUUCUUAAAUACUGGAAGGAUACAGCAAGUUGAACUAAGCAUAAUCUUUUGAGGCAAGUUAUCACAGCUUACAAUUAAAUACGAGUAAAAAUAGGUCUUUCCAAAAUGAAGAUGCGCAAGUUGUGUCUGAAAUUUUGGGAUUUUCGCUCGGAGAUUUUUUUUUUUGGAGAUUUUUUCCUGGAGAUUUUGUCUAUACCCAGGUCUGUCUUGGGGAUUUUGGCUUUGGGGAUUUUCUCUUUGGGAUUAUGGGUUUUGGUCAUUCAUCACCAACCCACAAAGGGAAACCUACACUAUCUCCAAAAAAAAAAAUCUCAAUCGGAUAAAAUCUCCAGAAAAUUUUUGACCCCAUGGACAAAAUCUCCAUGGGGAAAGGGAUCCAAUGGACAAAAUCUCCAAUAAAUAAUUUUUUCUCCCAUUUUCUCCAAAUCCCCAAAAAUCUCCAAAUAGCAAAAACAAAAACGUAAUAGAAUGAUAAAAAAACACUGUAAGGCAAAGUAAAAUCAGGUCUAAACACGACAAUUUUAAAAUCAUAAAGGUUCCUCUUUUAAAACGGAACACAAAAAAUAAAUUAUGUAAACAACCGUCACAUGAACCUUCGUUGUUGGAACUACCAUUCGUGUGCCUUAACAAUGAUUCUUAAAUACUGGAAGGAUACAGCAAGUUGAACUAAGCAUAAUCUUUUGAGGCAAGUUAUCACAGCUUACAAUUAAAUAUGAGUAAAAAUAGGUCUUUCCAAAAUGAAGAUGCGCAAGUUGUGUCUGAAAUUUUGGGAUUUUCGCUCGGAGAUUUUUUUUUUUGGAGAUUUUUUCCUGGAGAUUUUGUCUAUACCCAGGUCUGUCUUGGGGAUUUUGGCUUUGGGGAUUUUCUCUUUGGGAUUAUGGGUUUUGGUCAUUCAUCACCAACCCUUACAAAAAGUGUUGGGUUGGAAAACAAAAUAAACUCACUUUUAGGUCAUUACAAUAAGUAUUCCAUUCUGCGAAUAAGUCAAUCUGCACAAAAACCACUUUAAGCAACUGUACCAGUCAUAUGACUAUCCAAUACUCCGUCACCUGAAUUUAAAACAGACUCAGACCACUUAUGUCCGGGAGUCAAAAGGUAGUCAUAAAUACGUUCCAAUUAGUAGGUAAUCGUAGUUUCCAUACCCCCAAAACAUUAUUGCACCAGCAUCAGGAAUCAAGGCCAAAGUUUCAAGUAUUCCUAACUGAUUUGGCUAAGGUCCAACAGGGAUUCGAUUGCCUGUUGAAUAUAAUCUCACAGUGAGCCUGAACAAGUUUAAGGUUGACCUAAAAUGACGACAAAAACAAUAAUAAUCCGUUUUUACCAAAAUCCGACUAGCUUCCUUUUUCGAGAUACCCGCCGUAAACAAUUUUUUUUUCGAAAAAAAUUCAUAUCAACGCAAGGCUCGAGUACGAUAACUUAGGCACCGAGAAUUGAAAACGGUUUUUGUAGAGGUAUUCAAUACAUUCAUUUUUUGUUACAUUACAUUUAAUUUGAGUUUUUAAAUCAAGAUCUUUUAAUCAGUAGUUUUCGAAAUAAUCAAUAGUGUCAAAAAAUUUACAAGGUGCUAAAUAUUUAACGCAGUUCACACACGGCCUAAGACAAAGAUAAAGGCAAAACAUUAUACAAAGUAAAAAUGACAUUAAACUAGUACAAAUGAUGAAUACAAAAAAUGACAUUUAUGAUAUGGGGGCAUUAAAAAACAUCUGUUUAAUGUGAAUGCAUUCAGUGUGCUCCACUUGGUGACGUCAUAUUCUCUAACAAACACUUUAUUUCACUUUUUACUGUACUCUUUCACUUUCAAAAUUAAACUGUAGGUAUCCAGUCGGGGUCCGCGCUGCCCUUUUAUACCUGAAUUUCGAGAUUCGAGAAUGUCUUCGAAGGUUCUCGUCUCGCUUCUUUCAUCGCUUCUUUCACCAUUGUAACGAUGUAAACGGUCACAAUGAACUACCUUUAGUUUGCCUCUUACCCCUCCCAACUAGCACAACAGCUUCUAUAAAUUUGAGUCUCGCAGGCACUGCUUUUUAUACAGCUUGUAUUGAGCUUGCAUCAGAAUUUAAUUGCUUAUAAAAGUUCGAACUUGUUUAACAAAUUCUAAUAAGUUGUUUAAAUACUUUUAAAGACUCUUAAACGAAGAAAGCUCGUUUUUCGGAUAAGCCUGUUAAAUUAAUUUAUAGAAGCUUUACAGAAAUUACCAAGUUUUGUAUUCGAUUUUUGGUUUU